rnacentral:rRNA from 1 species
CGUACACUCCUGCGGGAGGCAGCAGUGGGGAAUUUUGGACAAUGGGCGAAAGCCUGAUCCAGCCAUGCCGCGUGCAGGAUGAAGGCCUUCGGGUUGUAAACUGCUUUUGUACGGAACGAAACGGCCUUUUCUAAUAAAGAGGGCUAAUGACGGUACCGUAAGAAUAAGCACCGGCUAACUACGUGCCAGCAGCCGCGGUAAUACGUAGGGUGCAAGCGUUAAUCGGAAUUACUGGGCGUAAAGCGUGCGCAGGCGGUUAUGUAAGACAGUUGUGAAAUCCCCGGGCUCAACCUGGGAACUGCAUCUGUGACUGCAUAGCUAGAGUACGGUAGAGGGGGAUGGAAUUCCGCGUGUAGCAGUGAAAUGCGUAGAUAUGCGGAGGAACACCGAUGGCGAAGGCAAUCCCCUGGACCUGUACUGACGCUCAUGCACGAAAGCGUGGGGAGCAAACAGGAUUAGAUACCCCUGUAGUCCCAUGA